rnacentral:rRNA from 1 species
UUUAAUUAAAUGAGAGUUUGAUCAUGGCUCAGAACGAACGCUGGCGGCGCGCCUAACACAUGCAAGUCGAACGGGGUACUUAGAGCAGAUCACUUCGGUGUGAAGCACUUUGCUACCUAGUGGCGGACGGGUGAGUAACACAUAGGUAACCUGCCCUUAGGAUUGGGAUACUCCCGGGAAACCGGGCACAAUACCGGAUACCAUUGCAAAAUUAUGUUUUGUAAUGAAAGCUGCGAGCAAUCGUGGCACCUAAGGAUGGGCCUGUGGCCUAUCAGCUUGUUGGUGAGGUAAUGGCUCACCAAGGCUAAGACGGGUAGCCGGACUGAG